rnacentral:lncRNA from 1 species
CAACUGACAACACGCUCACUGGACCAGAAAUCAUAAGGGAGACUACGGAGAAGAUUGUUCAAAUCCGAGAACGUCUAAAAGCAUCAAGGGAUAGACAAAAGAGUUACGCAGAUAAGAGACGCAAACCCUUGGAAUUCCAAGUUGGAGACCAUGUCCUACUCAAAGUCUCACCUUGGAAAGGUUUAAUACGCUUCGGAAAACGUGGAAAACUGAACCCUAGAUACAUCGGACCAUUCGAGAUCCUUGCCAGGAUCGGUCCAGUGGCUUACAAACUUAGACUACCUCAGGAACUCCACAACGUACACCCUACCUUUCACGUAUCAAAUCUAAAGAAGUGCUUAUCCGACGAGACCCUUGUCGUCCCUCUAGACGAAAUUGCAAUAAAUGAAAACCUUCAAUUUGUGGAGGAACCAGUAGAGAUCAUGGAUCGGGAAAUCAAAAGGACUAAACAAAGCCGAAUACCCAUUGUAAAGGUCCGCUGGAACGCCAAGCGAGGACCUGAAUACACCUGGGAACGCGAAGAUCAGAUGAAACAAAAGUACCCGCAUCUUUUUCCUAAAACUGUAAACUCUAUCUUAGAUUAAAUUUCGGGACGAAAUUCCCUUAACAGGGGGAUGAUGUGACAACCCUAUUUUUCCCAAAAAGCAUUGUAAACACUCGAAAGCUAAAAACAACGAAAUUAACCUCGAAAAUAAAGUGUUCAAGUAUCUAAGUUGGGAUGCAUCGAAUAUUAGAUAUCAUGCCAAGGUUUCCAAAAACAUAAAGAACGCUCAAAACCGGGUUAUAUUGAAGAAAUUAUAACCACUCGUAUAUUUACGACGCGACGUUAAAACAAUAUUUGACAUAAAAAGUAGAAUCUCAAUAAAAUGCAUUUUAAGCCUUAAGUAUCUAAACAAAAGUCGUAGAUCUCGUUGAAAGGUGAACGUACAUAAAAAGAUCGCCCAAAUUGGACCUCGUAUGAAGAAGUUACGAAUUUUCAAAGUUUCGUAACAGUAGUAGAGGGCUAAAAACUCGGAUUGAAGAUCGAGUGUUAUUUAGCUAACGCAACCUAAACGAAAGUUGAAGAUCUCCUCAGUAGUAAUAAAACAAUAAAAAGACAAACGAAAACCGACGUCGAAUAAAGAACCUAUGAAUUUUUAACGAACUUUAGGAGGCCCGGCCUAUUAAAAAUAUAUCAUUAAAAAUAAAGUCAAAACUAGCCGACGGAGUCUAAAGGAAAGUUGUAGAGCAUAAUCUCACCUACGCGUGGAUAUAAAGAACGCGAAAAACGGAGAUCGUACGCAAAAGUUACGGAAUUUAGAAGUCGGAAGCAGGGAUUACGCCCCGCGUACUCUGGGAGUACGCCCCGCGUACUAGACCCAGAGUCGAGUCCCAUCGGCCCGCCCAAGCUACGCUUAGCUAGCCAGGAGUCGUAAGCCAUGACGCCAUAUUACGCCCAGCGUAACGACGUACGCGCUGCGUACGUGAGUACGCCCCGCGUACUCCAAAAUUACGCCCCGCGUACGAGGCAAUUCCAGCCUAUAAAUAGAAAGGUUCAGCUUCGAGUUUUUGCACACUUUCACAACUUCUCAGUCAUUCUCCCAUACCACUAAGUUCCAGAGACCAUUUUUCUCACCUCGGUUUCCGCACUCGAGCCCCCGACGGAAGAUUUACGCUGCAGAGAUCCCCGAAGAGCCCGACGACGCAACCAUCCGCGGACGAAGUUCUGCUCAACCCUAGCCUCUCUCUUCGAAACGAGUGAGUUCAUACCCCUACUUUUCAAUUCUUUUCACAUUUUAGGGGGGGAAAUACAAGUACAUUACAAAUCAAAGUAUUAUUUUUAUAAUAUCGUUCUUAUAGAGUGUUGAUACAAAAAUAACUUUAUGUUUUAAAGGGAUAUUAUAUCACCAAGUUGUUAUUACCAAAUGGGAACAUACUUUUGACAAACUAUAAUGAGCAUAGUAUUCAAGUGAUUCAUACAUUUUACAUAUACAUCUCGACAAAUGAAAUGCUUUCAAAAGAAGUACAGUCUUUUAUCAUCGUAAAUCUGUUUAUACCUAGUAAUGUGAGACAGCUUCACGUACGUUCGAGUAUGCAUUAUUAAGUCCUGUAUUAUAUACCAUAAUCCCUUGUAGGGGGAGCGUGAUACUUGUGUAUAGAUCUAUACGGGAUUGACAAUCCCACACCUAAGCUGUUAGCUACAGCUAGGCCGGCAGGCCUGGGGUGACAAAUGUCAUAACAGUUCCAACGCCUGAAGAACGUUGUUACAGGCCAUCAUUGUCAAUAGCAUGGUUAUAAAACUCACAUAAAAGUAUAAAAACAAGUUAGAUUUACGAGAUUCAUACAUGCAUUUCAGUUUUCCAUUUUAUUGUUAAUACAAAUGUUAUCACUAUUAUUCAAGCAUGGAAAACACUAACGCACUCCAACACGGGAAACUUUUCAAAUCAUUUAUAGAAAAUAUUGGAUUUUCUGAAAACCUCGUUCAUCGAUUUACUAUCAAAAAGGACAUACUUUUCAAUGCAAAACACUUAUGAACUCACCAACUUAAUUGUUGACACUUUUUCGAAACCACUUGUAUUUCUCAGGGAAUCAGUAAUACAGGUAACUACCAGCUUUUGGAGAAGGAAACACUAAAGAUGUUUUAUUAUUGAACAUUUAUCAUCUCAUUGUAAUAUUCUUUUGCUAUUAUGUAUAACGCAACAACAUACGUUUUCAUUAUAUAUGUGAUGGUUGUGUUACUUUCUUUACAAUAUUCAAUGGUUGUGAUACUACGUGAAGUCAUCCACCCCCGAAUGUUUCCGCCAUUCUGGUUUGGGGGUGUGACAGAUUGGUAUCAGAGCAUUGUUUAUAGUGAACUAAGUAUAUCGAACCACAUACGAUAUACAAACUAUAAAUGCAAAGGGGACCAAAAACCCUCUGAUGAAACAUUUUCAUGAACAAAAUACUUUCUUUUAAAGAUAUACAUUUUUACAAGCAUGCAUAAAUCUCGUAUCAUAACAAGUUUUACUAAAAAGUAUUACGGCAAGUUACGACACUACGAUUGAGCCUCGGGGUAUGUAAUCAUGUCGAGAAUAAAUAUAGCCUGAUCAACUAUAUUUAUCCUGGAUUUGACCAACGUACGUCGAGGAAUGGUCGUAGUGGACAACAAGCCGAAAACUUACCAAAUACAAAAUUGUUCUAGUUUCGCCAAGUUGAAAUAGUAUAGAAGUAUUAUUAAAAAUAGUUGUACAAUAAAAAUUAUAGUUAAAAAUAAUAAGUCGCUAAAUAGAAAUUUCUUUUCUUAUAACGUUCUCAUACAUCUAUCCUAGUACAGACAAAUGGCCGGAUUCCAUUUACCAGGAGAUCCCUACUACCCAAACCAAGGCAACGGCGGUUGGAUAGAAGAAGACCCGGAGGAAGACCCAGAGGAAAUCGAAGAAGAGGUCGAGGAAGAAUUCGAAGUCGAAGUCGGAGAGGAGUUCGAAGUCGACGAAGAGAUCGUGGAGAUUUCUAGCGGGACAGACUCCGAGCCAGAAGUGUACGACCCUCCCAUCCCUCAUCCUCCCGUAAUCAGACCAGAUCAACCGGGACCCAUCCCCAUCUGGGGAAGCCACCUCUACUACUGGAGCCGCCAACAAGGUGUACGCCCUCCAUUCGGCAUGUGUCGGGAUUUUUACAACGUCAGUGGGGGAGGCUCAGCAGAUCGAGCACUUCCUGUCGUCGUGAAUGCUAUAGCUAACCAGAACUACCAGGCGGACCAACAAGCAGCCAGAGUUCGUGAAAUCAAUGCUGCUACCCAAGGUAACGCCGCUGACAUCCGCCGUUUGGAAGGACUACAUGAGAAUACCCAAAUCUACACGGGAACACUUCAGAACCAAAUGAUAGUGGCUCUGGCAGAAAUAAGAGGGAUGAAGGAACAACAAGCAGAUCUCGAGAGGCGACUGAUGGGAGUCAAACGGUCGGAUGCCGAGUCUAGCUCCAAACGCCGCAAGUAGAGCUUGUUCGAUGCCCAACAAUUUUGUUAUAGAUUAGGAUUUCGGAUAAAAGUUUUUCCCUUAUUUCCCUUUUGUAUCUGCAAUCGGAGACCUCUAGGAGGGUCAAAUUUUCCCGAACAAGAUAUGUAAUGUAACACACCUCAGGUGUGACCUAUAUGUAUGAAUAUGAAGUAUUUCUUAUUAUAUACCUCUCAAAAAUUACGAGUUUUAAAUUUCUAUGCCUACCUUGAAACCAUAAACUAAAGUCAAAACAAAUUACAAGAUACAACUAACACACGAUUGUCAAAACAUUAGAAACUUAUAGUAUUCAUUCUUAUUUUUCUCUACCAGAACAUGCCUCCUCGUAGAUCAACACGCAGAAACUCAACUUCAACACCACCUCCACCACCUCCUCCAAUUAUGGACACCGUUAUGUUCCAGACUGCUGUAACCGCUGCUGUAACUGCAGCAAUGGCUCAAAUGAGCAACAACGGAUCGGGGGGAGGAACAAACAGUUUUACAAAUGGCCAAGGUCAAAGCCGUUCAGGGGUAUGCACUUACAAAGACUUCACCAACGGAAAACCUAUUCCCUUUUAUGGGACUGGGGGAGUAUUGGCUCUAUCUCAAUGGAUAGAGAAAACGGAAGCUGUAUUCGAAAUUUGCGCAUGCCCUGAAGAAAGCAAAGUAAAGUUUGCUGCUUUUACUUUCUCUGAACGCGCCCUGACAUGGUGGAACGGCCACGUCAAGACACUAACCCUAGUGGUGGCGAACUCCAUGGGUUGGGAAAACUUGAAACGAAUGCUCCUUCGAGAAUACUGCCCAAGAGGCGAGAUUCAGAAGCUUGAACAGGAACUGUGGAACCUUUCGAUGGUAGGUUCGGACAUAGCAGGUUACACCAACAGGUUCAGUGACUUAAUAACACUUUGCCCAGGAAUGUUAAUCCUGGAAAGCCAAAAGGUCGAGAGAUACAUCUGGGGACUAUCACCCCAACUUCGAGGAAGUGUGUUAGCUUCCAAACCCAUGACCUUCGACAGCGCCAAGGAACUGGCGCAAUCUCUCGUUGAUCAUGGUGUCUGUCAAGGAGUCACGGCUAUCAUGGCUGAACCAACCAAAGGGAACAGCAACAACGAGAUCAAUGCCAACAACAACAACAAGAAGAAAUUCUGGAACAAGAGAAAGGGGCAAACUUCGCAAGAACCUUCAAAGAAACAAAUGGUUGCGGUUCAUGCUGCUACUACUCCCACCACAACUCCUGCUACCCCUGCGCCAACAAAACCAUAUGCGGGGAAUCUGCCCAAGUGCAGCAAGUGCAACUACCAUCACCACGGUAUUUGCCACGAGAUGCACUAUAAAAACUGCGACAAGAAAGGGUGCACAGCCCGUUUCUGUAAGGCACCAGCACGACCAGUCACUCAAGUUCCUGGUACUGGGAUAAGCCAGGCAUGUUAUGGGUGUGGAGAAACUGGGCACUUCAAAAGGGACUUGCCCAAGACAAGGAACGUUGGUGGUGUUAGGAGAGUGUUGGCGAUAGGCCAAAAUGAAGCAAUAGCCGACCCAACGGUGGUUACGGGUACGUUUCUCCUCAACAACAUUUAUGCAUGCAUACUCUUUGACUGCGGUGCGGAGAGAAGUUUUGUGAGUCAUAAAUUCAAACACUUACUUAAUCAAAGACCCCAACCACUCGAUAAAAUAUUCACUGUAGAAAUGGAUAACGGUAAAACGGAAAGCACAAGUGAUAUGUACGUAGGGUGCACAUUAAAUUUAAAUGAACACUUAUUCCAAUCGACCUAAUGCCCAUUUCAAUAAGAAGUUUCGAUGUCAUCAUCGGUAUGGACUGGUUGAGCCUUCACCAUGCCGACAUACUUUGUCAUGAAAAGUCCGCUCGCCUCAAUCUGCCAAACGGCGAAACCCUUGUCAUUUAUGGUGACAAACCUAGUUCAAGUUUACAAAUCAUCUCCUGUGUUAAGGCACAAAAAUAUCUUCGUAAGGAAUACCAUGCCUUUCUAGCCCACGUAGUAGACCAGAAACAAGAACCAAAGAACAUUAAAGACAUUCCGGAAGUCUGCAACUUCCCAGAUAUUUUCCCAGAAGAUCUUCCAGGAAUUCCACCAGAGCGCCAAGUUGAGUUCAGAAUCGACUUAAUCCCCGGAGCUACCCCAGUAGCAAAGUCGCCUUACCGUUUAGCCCCAGCCGAGAUGCAGGAACUGUCCAGUCAAUUAAACGAGCUGCUGAGCAAGGGAUUCAUCAGACCGAGCUUCUCACCAUGGGGAGCACCAGUCCUAUUCGUGAAAAAGAAGGACGGAUCCUUUCGCAUGUGCAUCGAUUAUCGGGAGCUGAACAAACUCACGAUCAACAACCGAUAUCCCCUACCGCGCAUAGACGACCUGUUCGACCAACUGCAGGGAGCAAGCUACUUCUCAAAGAUCGAUCUAAGAUCUGGUUAUCACCAACUGCGAGUGCUGGAAGGAGACAUCCCCAAAACGGCUUUCCGAACACGUUAUGGUCACUACGAGUUUGUAGUAAUGCCCUUCGGAUUGACAAAUGCUCCAGCGGUGUUGAUAGACUUGAUGAACCGAGUUUGUCAUCCCUUCCUGGAUAAAUUCGUGAUUGUAUUCAUAGAUGAUAUACUCAUCUAUUCUAGAAGCCAGGAAGAACACAGCCAACACCUCCGCCAAGUUUUGGAAACGUUGAGGGCAGAGAAGCUUUACGCAAAAUUUUCCAAGUGCGAAUUUUGGAUUCGGAAAGUAGAUUUCCUAGGACAUGUAGUAAGCAAGGAGGGGGUACACGUGGAUCCUUCUAAGAUCAAGGGAAUAGAAAGUUGGACGAAACCAAGGACCCCUACAGAAAUCCGGCAAUUUUUGGGACUCGCCGGGUAUUACCGAAGGUUCAUACAAAACUUUUCGAAGAUUGCCAAACCACUUACCACCCUAACUCAGAAGAGUGUGACCUUUGACUGAGGAGAAAAACAAGACGCCUCGUUUCAAACGCUAAAGCGAGCCUUAUGUAGUGCGCCCAUCCUAACCUUGCCGGAAGGAACGGAGGACUUCGUGGUCUAUUGCGAUGCAUCAAACCAAGGACUUGGGUGUGUCCUGAUGCAACGAGGGAAGGUCAUCGCCUACGCCUCAAGGCAACUAAAGACGCACGAAGUGAACUACACAACGCACGAUCUUGAGCUAGGAGCAGUCAUCUUCGCUCUAAAGAUAUGGAGACACUAUCUCUACGGCACGAAAUGUACGAUCUUCACCGACCAUAAAAGCCUCCAACAUAUCCUCAACCAGAAAGAACUCAACAUGAGACAAAGACGGUGGGUAGAACUACUAAAUGAUUAUGAAUGCAAGAUUCGAUAUCAUCCCGGAAAGGCUAACGUGGUGGCCGAUGCACUCAGCCGGAAGGAAUACUCGGGCCGCAGAGUGAAGUCUUCAACCAUGACAAUCCAUUCGCACCUAUCCACACAAAUCAAGGAAGCCCAGAUAGAAGCCUUAACAUCAGUAAAUGUGGCAGGGGAAGCCUUAAGGGGAAUGGAUAAGAAGUUUGAGGUCAAGAAUGAUGGAGUUCAUUACUUCAUGGAUCGGAUCUGGACGCCGAAGUUUGGCGGAUUCAGAGAAGUCGUCAUGAACGAAGCCCAUAAAACACGAUACUCCAUACACCCCGGCUCCGAUAAGAUGUAUCUCGACCUCAAGAAAUUGUACUGGUGGCCGAACAUGAAGGCCGAAAUUGCUACCUACGUGAGUAAAUGUCUGACGUGCGCCAAGGUCAAAGUAGAAUACCAAAAGCCCUCAGGAUUGUUGCAACAACCAGAAAUACCAGAAUGGAAGUGGGAACGUAUAACCAUGGAUUUCAUAACCAAACUACCCAGAACGGCAAACGGACUCGACACUAUCUAGGUGAUUGUCGAUAGGUUAACUAAAUCAGUGCACUUCCUACCGAUCAAAGAGACGAUUAAAUUAUAGAAGCUAACUAGGACAUACCUCAGAGAAAUUGUACGACUACAUGGUGUGCCCAUAUCCAUUAUCUCAGACCGAGAUAGUAGUUUCACCUCAAGGUUCUGGCAGUCGCUACAAAAAGUUUUGGGGACAAGGCUAGACAUCAGUACCGCUUAUCACCCACAAACCGACGGCCAGAGUGAGAGAACCAUACAAACCCUAGAACAUAUGUUGAGGUCUUGCAUAAUCGAUUUUGGUAAGGCAUGGAACACACAUCUACCUUUCGUCGAGUUCUCGUACAACAAUAGCUAUCACACAAGCAUCAAGGCUGGCCCGUUCGAAGCCCUCUAUGGCCGCAAAUGCAGGUCGCCUUUGUGCUGGGCCGAAGUGGGGGACACACAACUAGCAAAAGGACAAGCAACAGACAACACGCUCACUGGACCAGAAAUCAUAAGGGAAACUACGGAGAAGAUUGUUCAGAUUCGGGAACGUCUAAAAGCAUCAAGGGACAGACAAAAGAGUUACGCAGAUAAAAGACGGAAACCCUUGGAAUUCCAGGUCGGAGAUCGAGUUCUACUAAAGGUCUCGCCCUGGAAGGGGUUAAUACGCUUCGGGAAGCGCGGAAAACUGAACCCAAGAUACAUCGGACCAUUCGAGAUCCUUGCCAGGAUCGGUCCAGUGGCUUACAAACUUAGAUUACCUCAGGAGCUCCACAACGUACACCCUACCUUUCACGUAUCAAACCUAAAGAAGUGCUUGUCCGAUGAGACCCUUGUCAUCCCUCUAGACGAAAUCGCAAUAAAUGAAAAUCUCCAAUUUGUAGAGGAACCAGUAGAGAUCAUGGAUCGGGAAAUAAAAAGGACUAAACAAAGCCGCAUACCUAUUGUAAAGGUCCGCUGGAACGCCAAGCGAGGACCUGAAUACACCUGGGAACGCGAGGAUCAGAUGAAACAGAAAUACCCGCAUCUUUUUCCUAACCUGUAAACUCUAU